AUUGAACGCUGGCGGCAGGCUUAACACAUGCAAGUCGAGCGGGGGAAGGUAGCUUGCUACCGGACCUAGCGGCGGACGGGUGAGUAAUGCUUAGGAAUCUGCCUAUUAGUGGGGGACAACAUCUCGAAAGGGAUGCUAAUACCGCAUACGUCCUACGGGAGAAAGCAGGGGAUCUUCGGACCUUGCGCUAAUAGAUGAGCCUAAGUCGGAUUAGCUAGUUGGUAGGGUAAAGGCCUACCAAGGCGACGAUCUGUAGCGGGGCUGAGAGGAUGAUCCACCACACUGGGACUGAGACACGGCCCAGACUCCUACGGGAGGCAGCAGUGGGGAAUAUUGGACAAUGGGGGGAACCCUGAUCCAGCCAUGCCGCGUGUGUGAAGAAGGCCUUAUGGUUGUAAAGCACUUUAAGCGAGGAGGAGGCUACUUUAGUUAAUACCUAGAGAUAGUGGACGUUACUCGCAGAAUAAGCACCGGCUAACUCUGUGCCAGCAGCCGCAGUAA
rnacentral:rRNA from 1 species